rnacentral:rRNA from 1 species
AUGGCGAACAUAACAAACACCUUGAGGGUAGCGAUGGCGGCCACAGCGGUGGUGAUGCUGACGUCACCGCUCCUGGCCGGAGCACUUUAUCGGGGCGAGGCGCAAGGGAUGCCCAAUUGCGACAUCAUCUGUGGCAACAUGAGCGUGCCAUACCCGUUCGGCAUGGGCCCGGCCAGGUGCUACUGGCCGGGGUUCAACCUCACCUGCGACCGUAGCAGCAACCCGCCGCGGUUGCUGCUGGGCGACGGCUCCCUCCAAGUUCAAGACCUCUCCAUUACCAUGGCGACAUGGGUGGACGCCAUAUAUAUGGGCGACAUAAAAGUCGACGGCAACGGUGAAGGCACGCUCCGCGGCGGCCUUACGACCGACGGGCCCUACACGAUUUCAUCCAACAAGCUCAUCAUUGUGAGCUGCAAUGUUCAGGCGACACUCAAGAAUGGCGAUGUGACCGUAAGCAGCUGUUCUUCUAUCUGCAUAAACGGUGAUGGACUCUCCGAGGCACGAUCCACACUCGAAGCAGGCAUGCAAUGCUCCGGCAAUGGCUGCUGCCAGUCAGACAUCGUCUUCGACCCUGCGGAGGUAGCGGGAAGGCUUGUCAACGGCACGUCCUACAGUGUGCAGCUCAAAUGGUUUGGCUGGAACCGCAGCGCCGACCAGCAGUGGCCUGCGCGCGUCUUUGUCGUGAGUCACGGCUGGUUCAGCCAUACACCGGCCUUCCUUGAGCUAUUAGGAGGAGACACACCCGCAUCAGCGGAGGCAAUGCAAGUUCCCUUAUGGCUGAACUGGGAGGUCGUUGGCCAUGGCGCACAAUGCUCCAACGUCUGCAAGAGCACGCACAGCCACUGCAAAAAGGGUAAGAGAGGCUACACAUGCUCCUGCAAAGACGGCUACGAAGGGAAUCCCUACAUCAACGGCGGAUGCAAAGAUAUCGACGAGUGCAAGGAUGAAGUGUACGGCAAGUGCUAUGGUCAUUGUAAAAAUUUGGAUGGGUCAUAUGAAUGCCGGUGUCCGCCAGGAACCCAUGGCGACCCUACCCUGCCCGGUGGCUGCCUCAGUUCCGUCUCAAGUAACUGCAGGACGACCUGCGGCGACGUAGAUGUGCCGUACCCAUUCGGCAUUGGCUCUGCCGAUUGCUACUGGCCAGGGUUCAACCUCAUCUGUGAUAUAAGCCAACAACCACCAAAGUUACUCAUCGUUCUCCAGGACCCCAGCGACCCUGACAUCGGCAAGGACUGCUCCAUCCAGGUCAGGGAGAUCUCCCUCCGAAACAACACAGUGAGCGUCCUCCGCAGCAACGCCAUCAGCCGUAUCGAACCCACCGACUCAACCAGUUUUUUAAUGUUUGGCAACUACUCGGAGGCGCCCUACUCACUAUCGACUAGCAACGAGUUCAUCCUAUCAGGCUGCAACCUUCAGGAACAAGUCCAGAUCGGAGAUGGCCCCGAGGAUUUCAUCAGCGGUUGUGCCUCCUUCUGCUCCUCCAAAGUUAGUGACACCAACGUCGAAACCGCGCUGCGUCGUACAGGCAGAAACUGCAACGGCAUGGGCUGCUGCCAGGCGCAUAUCUCCAUGUCCUCCAAUGGCUUGCCUACGGCGUGGAUGUAUCAAAAGAUCAACAAGAACGGCGACCAGGAGGCGACAUUGCAGCCCGCAUACAUGCUAAUCGCAGAGGAGGGGUGGUUUGAUCAGCGGCGGUUGUCCAAGGAUAUGGCAGGGCGGGAAGAAUCCGAAACGGACAAGGUGCAGGUUCCCCAAGUUCUGCAAUGGGAGGUCGUGCAGGGCUUGCCGCGACCAGCUGACAUGAAGGCGCACCCAGGCUGUCCAGCGGAGGUAGCCCUCGAGCUCUGCAAGAGCAAGAACAGCUACUGCAAACGAGGGAGCAUAGGCUAUUUAUGCCAGUGCAUGGAUGGCUACCACAAACCGGGCAGCAACCCCUACCUUGACGACGGAUGCAAAGGUGGCCACAAGCCUUUAUCUACAAGUAUAUACCUCGCCAUAGGAGUUGCUGUUGGGGCAGGCAUCAUACUAUUUGUUGUUGCUGGAUCUUUCACACAUAAGAAAUUCAAACAUCGAAAAGCACAGAUGUUGAAACAGAAGUUCUUCGAGAAAAAUCGUGGACAAUUGUUGAGACAAUUGGUAUCACAAAGAGCUGAUAUUGCAGAAAGAAUGAUUAUAACCUUAGAUGAGCUUGAGAAGGCAACAAACAAAUUUGAUAAGGCCCGUGAGCUUGGUGGUGGGGGGCAUGGUACAGUCUACAAAGGGAUCUUAUUAGAUCUCCAUGUUGUGGUCAUCAAGAAACCAAAGAUGGCGAUUCAAAAGGAGAUUGAUGAGUUCAUUAAUGAGGUUGCUAUUCUAUCACAGAUCAACCAUAGAAAUGUUGUAAAACUCUAUGGAUGUUGCCUUGAAACAGAGGUCCCCAUGUUGGUCUAUGAGUUUAUAUCCAACGGUACACUUUAUGAUCAUCUUCAUGUUGAUGGGCCAAAAUCGUUGUCAUGGAAUGAUAGGCUACGGAUAGCAAUUGAGACUCCCAGAUCUUUAGCCUAUCUUCACUCAACAACUUCAGUACCCAUCAGCCAUAGAGAUAUCAAGUCUGCUAACAUACUUUUGGAUGAUACUCUAACAGCAAAAGUCGCAGACUUUGGAGCUUCAAGAUAUGUUCCGGUGGAUAGAUCAGGAGUCACAACAAGAGUGCAAGGUACAAGAGGAUAUCUAGACCCAAUGUAUUUCUAUACAGGGCGUCUCACGGAAAAGAGUGAUGUGUACAGCUUCGGUGUCCUGCUUCUGGAGUUAUUGACUAGAAAGAAACCAUUUUCAUACAUCUCUUCUGAAGAGGAAGGCCUUGUCACACACUUUUCUACCUUAUUCACACAAGGCAAUUUGUCCGAGAUAAUAGAUCCCCAAGUUAUGGAAGAGGGAGGCAGAGAAAUGGAAGAAGUUGCAGCACUUGCAGUAAUGUGUAUAACAUUAAGAGGAGAGGAUCGUCCGUCGAUGAAGCAGGUGGAGAUCAAACUCGAAGGCACUCAAGCAUCCAGGGGACAUGAGAAGGGUAAUGUACGAAACUGUCCGCCUACUGUUGAUGGAAGUAGGAGCGAAGAAUUAUCCAGGCAGUAUAGUAUGGAAGAAGAGUUCAUGUUAUCGUCAAGGUAUCCUCGGUAG